CGGAUCAACAGAGGGAAGCAAUAUGGUAACAUGGAGCAAAACCCUAAAAAAUACGUCUCAGUUCAGACUGUGGGCUGCAACUCGCCCACACGAAGUCGGAAUUGCUAGUAAUCGCGGAUCAGCAUGCCGCGGUGAAUACGUUCCCGGGCCUUGUACACACCGCCCGUCAAACCAUGAGAGUUGGAAACACCCGAAGUCUGUUGCCUAACCGUAAGGAGGGCGCAGCCGAAGGUGGGUCUGAUGAUUGGGGUUAAGUCGUAACAAGGUACC
rnacentral:rRNA from 1 species